CACAAGAUGGCAGCCUCCGCUGUUUGACGCUGAUUUAACGGCAGCUUGACCCACCUGCUUCAUGCACGUGAGACGAACGAGCGUGCUCAAGGACGUUGGCUUCAUCUGUGCGCGCCGGCGUCCAGCGUGCUCUUGCAGCCAUAGAGCUGGAACGUAGGAACGCAGCAUGCUGUAGCUAACCCGUUGCCAUGUGAUAUGUAGUUACCAAGCACCUGCGAUAGAUACAUGCGUUAUCGCCUAGAUAACCUUGAUCCCAGAACAGCGUAGACUGCUUAAAGCAGCAACUGCCCUGUUAGCAUGUAGUGUACAGGCUAACCGCACUCUCCUUUCCUAUCUAAUCGACAUUCCACCACCAUCCACCACCAACCUGUUAGAUCCUUUCUUUCCUGUAUGGCUCCCCAGCAGGCGAGUCAGUCAGUACUGCAAUAAAGGAACCCGUAUGUGUGUGCCUCCGAGUCCGGCUUCUCUGGGAUAUACAUAACAUAAAUGGCGACCAGUUGGUGAAGCAGUACUUCUAGCAUCAUGAUCUAUAGAGGAUACGUGCCUGUUUUAUGGAUGCUUGUGACAAGAAGAAUACCCUUCCACAGCAGUUCGACCGCAACACGCUUCCUACGACCACAAGCAUGGUUGCAGAGUGUAGGCUAUGCCGCUCUGAAGCCUUGACAUGACGAAGCGUCGUGGUGGCUGCACCUCUGCUUUCGAAAGAUGAAACAGUCUUUCCACACUGUGCUUACUGGCUUUGUAUCAAGUCUGACAAAUCCGACAGACUUUUGGACUGCCUUUUUCAAGAAAGUUUGAAAUAGCAUCCCUUAUGCACCUGCAUUUCAAUUCCAAUCUGUAUUACAAGAAUGACAGACCACUCAACAGCGAUGAACAUUUGAAGGUGAAAGAGCAGAAACGAAGAUGCGUUAAUCUGUGUGAAAGGCGCUUUGUAUGUGUCUGAUUCCUGUCUUCAGAAGAGGUGACAACUAUGCUCCUUCUAUCUACUAACCAGCUCCACUUUUUAGGGUUCCCUGUAAACUAAUGGAGCACAUCAUAGACUAGCACGUUGUCAACCAUGUUGAGUGUAUCAAUUUCUUUUUUAAAUUCUAGCAUGGUUUUAGAAAAGGGUAUUCAGGCAAAACUAACGUAGUGGAAUUCGUUCCCAGCAUUUUAAACUGUCUUGAUUUCUGGGUCCACGUAGAUGCAGUAUUUUUUUUUAUUUUGUAAGGGCUUUUGACACUACUUUAUGCUCGCGUGUUGGCCAAACUAGCCUAAUUAAAAUUUGAUCCUGCUACCAUUAACUGGAUAUGCAGUUUCUCAACUAACCGCACCCUGGCAACAACUCGUGAGGAGAAUCUAUCAUAUCGCCACCAUGCAGCAUUUGUUAUGUUACAAUCGCUUCACAUUUUAAUCUAGUCAAAAGCAAGGCAUUUUGGUGAUGGGUCCUGUAUGAUUACAUGCCCCUCCGUUAUGUAACACCACACUGGGUUCUUCAACCUAUGAGAGAUAAAUAAAUAUAUUGCCAAGUAAAUUGUUUACAAGGCUCGUUAUCCCAUUUCGCCACACUACCACAAGCAAUUGUUAGAGUAGUGGCCCAGGGUAUGAAGCUCGCCACUAAUCAUCAUUCAAACGACGUUCAUAAUGUAAAAUCCUUUACUGAGAACACCGGCUUAACACAACAAUUAAGAAAAAAGAGAGUAAACGUUCCGUUGCCUAUCCAGGUGGCAUCAUCGCUACAACAGAGAACAAUCAAAAACAACAUCAAAGGAGCCAAAUCGGUGGUGCGCAUUCCUUUCAUAGGUGUUUCAUACGCCAUUUGGAGGGCACUGUGCCCAUCAGGUAUUUUGACUGUGCAUAUCAAGUUGAGUGCAUAGAAUGUGAUGCAACCUACAUUGGCGAGAUAGACAAAAGAUGUGAGACAAGACUAAAAGAGCACACAAGGGACGUUGCCAGGGCUACUAAUGCUAUUCGAACGAGGACCGAAUUAGUCUACCAUUGCUAGCCUAAGGGACAUAUAUUUAAUUUUGAUGGUGCAGUAACCUUUGCACAGGACUAGCGAUGGGGCCCUAGAAAGUUCUUAGAGUCCUGUUUUAUCAGACGUGAUGCAUCAGCCUGUAAUACAGAUUGUGGCCCCCCCUAUCGGAUGUGUAUGAUGCCCUUUUAGAUAAGUAGGCUGGUGUGCUCGUCUUUGGCCUCUGUUGUACUGAUGAUGCCACCCGGAUAGGCGGCAAAACGUUUACGCUCUGUUUUUAAUCGUUGUGUUGAGCGGUGUUUGCAGUAAAGGACGUUACAUUAUGAGGU